rnacentral:sRNA from 1 species
GCUGGGUGUGGUGGUGCACACCUGUAAUCCCAGUCAGAACAGGAGGCUGAGGAAGGAGGAUUCUCAAGUUUGAGGCCAGCCUCAGCAAUUAGACCCUAAGCAACUUAGUGAGACCCUGACUCGA